CCUACGGGGGGCAGCAGUGAGGAAUAUUGGUCAAUGGCCGGAAGGCUGAACCAGCCAAGCCGCGUGAAGGACGAAGGUGCCAAGCAUUGUAAACUUCUUUUGUCAAGGGACAAAAUCAGGCUCGAGAGCCUGACCGAGGGUACUUGAAGAAAAAGCAUCGGCUAACUCCGUGCCAGCAGCCGCGGUAAUACGGAGGAUGCGAGCGUUAUCCGGAUCUAUUGGGUUUAAAGGGUGCGCAGGCGGGCUGUUAAGCCGGCGGUAAAAAUUCAGGGCUCAACCCUGUCGAGCCGUCGGAACUGGCAGUCUUGAGUGGGCGAGAAGUAUGCGGAAUGCGUGGUGUAGCGGUGAAAUGCAUAGAUAUCACGCAGAACGCCGAUUGCGAAGGCAGCAUACCGGCGCCCAACUGACGCUGAGGCACGAAAGCGUGGGGAUCGAACAGGAUUAGAUACCUGUAGUC
rnacentral:rRNA from 1 species